rnacentral:rRNA from 1 species
AACGCUAGCUACAGGCUUAACACAUGCAAGUCGAGGGGAAACGACAUCGAAAGCUUGCUUUUGAUGGGGGUCGACCGGCGCACGGGUGAGUAACGCGUAUCCAACCUGCCCACCACUUGGGGAUAACCUUGCGAAAGUAAGACUAAUACCCGAUGAUAUCUCUAGAAGACAUCUGAAAGGGAUUAAAGAUUUAUCGGUGAUGGAUGGGGAUGCGUCUGAUUAGCUUGUUGGCGGGGUAACGGCCCACCAAGGCAACGAUCAGUAGGGGUUCUGAGAGGGAGGUCCCCCACAUUGGAACUGAGACACGGUCCAAACUCCUACGGGAGGCAGCAGUGAGGAAUAUUGGUCAAUGGGCGAGAGCCUGAACCAGCCAAGUAGCGUGCAGGACGACGGCCCUAUGGGUUGUAAACUGCUUUUAUAAGGGAAUAAAGUGAGUCUCGUGAGACUUUUUGCAUGUACCUUAUGAAUAAGGACCGGCUAAUUCCGUGCCAGCAGCCGCGGUAAUACGGAAGGUCCGGGCGUUAUCCGGAUUUAUUGGGUUUAAAGGGAGCGUAGGCCGGAGAUUAAGCGUGUUGUGAAAUGUAGACGCUCAACGUCUGCACUGCAGCGCGAACUGGUUUCCUUGAGUACGCACAAAGUGGGCGGAAUUCGUGGUGUAGCGGUGAAAUGCUUAGAUAUCACGAAGAACUCCGAUUG